AACGAACGCUGGCGGCAUGCCUAACACAUGCAAGUCGGACGUGAUCCGGGGCUUCGGUUCCGGUGAAAGUGGCGGACGGGUGAGUAACGCGUGGGAACCUGCCCAGUGGUAGGGGAUAACCGCGGGAAACUGCGGCUAAUACCCUAUGUGCCCUGCGGGGCAAAGAUUCAUCGCCAUUGGAGGGGCCCGCGUCGGAUUAGGUAGGUGGUGGGGUAACGGCCUACCAAGCCAUCGAUCCGUAGCUGGUCUGAGAGGAUGACCAGCCACACUGGGACUGAGACACGGCCCAGACUCCUACGGGAGGCAGCAGUGGGGAGUAUUGGACAAUGGGGGCAACCCUGAUCCAGCAAUGCGGCGUGAGUGAAGAAGGCCUUAGGGUUGUAAAGCUCUUUCGGCGGGGAAGAUGAUGACGGUACCCGCAGAAGAAGCCCCGGCUAACUUCGUGCCAGCCGCCGCCGUAAAAC
rnacentral:rRNA from 1 species